rnacentral:rRNA from 1 species
AGUUGGUGGAGUGAUUUGUCUGGUUAAUUCCGUUAACGAACGAGACCUCAGCCUAUUAAAUAGUUCGACAAAUGCCUUCGCGUUUGUUUCGUUGCUUCUUAGAGGGACUGUCUGUUUCCAGCAGAAGGAGGUCUGAGGCAAUAACAGGUCU